AUACAGAGGGUGCGAGCGUUAAUCGGAAUUACUGGGCGUAAAGGGCGCGUAGGUGGUUUGGUAAGUCAGAUGUGAAAUCCCUGGGCUUAACCUGGGAAUUGCAUUUGAUACUGCCAGACUAGAGUGUGGUAGAGGUAAGCGGAAUUCCCGGUGUAGCGGUGAAAUGCGUAGAUAUCGGGAAGAACAUCAGUGGCGAAGGCGGCUUACUGGAUCAACACUGACACUGAGGCGCGAAAGCGUGGGUAGCAAACAGGAUUAGAAACCCGAGUAGUCC
rnacentral:rRNA from 1 species